rfam:Brachypodium distachyon strain Bd21 chromosome 4, whole genome shotgun sequence.
GAUGUACUUCUUUCGUCCGACAAAAAAUGUUUCAACUUUGACUAAAUUUGAAUACAUCUAUACACUAAGUCAUGUCUAGAUACAUCCAAAUUUUGAUAAACUUGGGACAUCUUUUAUCGGACGGAGUGAGUAUUUA